CGUAGGGACCAAGCGUUGUUCGGAUUUACUGGGCGUAAAGGGCGCGUAGGCGGCGAAUCAAGUCAGCUGUGAAAUCUCCGAGCUUAACUCGGAACGGUCAGCUGAUACUGUUUUGCUAGAGUGCAGAAAGGGCAACCGGAAUUCUUGGUGUAGCGGUGAAAUGCGUAGAUAUCAAGAGGAACACCUGAGGCGAAGGCGGGUUGCUAGGCUGACACUGACGCUGAAGCGCGAAAGCUAGGGUAGCAAACGGGAUUAGAUACCCCGGUAGUCCUAGCCCUAAACGAUGUAUGCUUGGUGUCUGGAGUUUUUAUCUCUGGGUGCCGUCGCUAACGCUUUUAGCAUACCGCCUGGGGAGUACGCACGCAAGUGUG
rnacentral:rRNA from 1 species